rnacentral:rRNA from 1 species
GAUGAACGCUAGCUACAGGCUUAACACAUGCAAGUCGAGGGGAAACGAUGAGAGAGCUUGCUCUCUUAGUCGUCGACCGGCGCACGGGUGAGUAACGCGUAUCCAACCUGCCUCUGACCAAGGGAUAACCCGUCGAAAGUCGGACUAAUACCUUAUGCAGUCGUCGGAAGUCAUCUGAUGACGACGAAAGAUUUCAUCGGUGAGAGAUGGGGAUGCGUCUGAUUAGCUUGUUGGCGGGGUAACGGCCCACCGAGGCGACGAUCAGUAGGGGUUCUGAGAGGAAGGUCCCCCACAUUGGAACUGAGACACGGUCCAAACUCCUACGGGAGGCAGCAGUGAGGAAUAUUGGUCAAUGGGCGUAAGCCUGAACCAGCCAAGUAGCGUGCAGGAUGACGGCCCUAUGGGUUGUAAACUGCUUUUAUGCGGGGAUAAAGUGAGGGACGUGUCCUUCAUUGCAGGUACCGCAUGAAUAAGGACCGGCUAAUUCCGUG